GACGAACGCUGGCGGCGUGCUUAACACAUGCAAGUCGAACGGAAAGGCCCUGCUUUUGUGGGGUGCUCGAGUGGCGAACGGGUGAGUAACACGUGAGUAACCUGCCCUUGACUUUGGGAUAACUUCAGGAAACUGGGGCUAAUACCGGAUAGGAGCUCCUGCUGCAUGGUGGGGGAUGGAAAGUUUCGGCGGUUGGGGCUGGACUCGCGGCUUAUCAGCUUGUUGGUGGGGUAGGGGUUUCCCAAGGCUUUGACGGGUAGCCGGCCUGGGAGGGUGACCGGCGUCAUUGGGACUGAGGGACGGCCCAGUCGCGAACGGGAGGCAGUAGGGGGAAACAUUGCAGAACGGGCGGACGCCUGUUGCGGAAGCCCUCGGUGCGGGAUACCGGCCUUCGGGUGGAAAACCGAUUUGGCCUUAGACGAGCCGGUAUUGACGGUACCUGGUAAAAAAGCACCGGCUAACUACGUG
rnacentral:rRNA from 1 species